rnacentral:lncRNA from 1 species
CCAGUGGUCGAGUGCCCCUGAGUUCAAUCCCCAGUACCAAAAAAAAAAAAAAAAAUUAAUGGUCUGGGGCUGUAGCUCAGUGGCACUGGGUUCAAUCCUCAGCACCACAUAAAAAUAAAUAAAGCUAUUGUGUCCAACUACAACUAAAAAUUUUUUUUUAAUUUAAAUUAAGAUUUAUUUAGAUAACAAUUUUGGAGGCUAAAAGUCCAAGAGGAACCCCCAUUGAUUCAGUUUCUGUUAAGAGCUCCCAUUGCUACAUCAUGAUGUUAUGGGAAGCUACUUCAGAAAACACUCAAAGUCCGAAUUCAAAUCAAUGAGAGCUUUACUUACCUGGCCAGGGUCGGUCACCUACCCAUAGAGAAUGAAGCUCUGUGGGAGAACAGCAAUUUCCUGGCCUAUAUCCUGGGAACCUGAAGAUGAAAACCACAUCUCAGUGGAUUUCCUUAGCAUCAUGCAAACAGGCCAAUCAUAGAAGCUAAGACAGCAAUUAGUACAGCAACUCACAAUCACAUCUUGGGUUUGAGUGGGUGUUAGACAACCGUAUCUUGAGUUCAAGUGGGUAGUUAGCAGGGGCAUGAAUCUUAAUCAAAGUCUUGGGUCACCAAGACUACCAUAGCCUGGGCUGAGUACAUUUUUGUGGGGUACAAAGUACAGAAAACUAUAUAUUAUAAGAAAAUAGCUUUCAUUUAAGUUUCUCAGAAACAGCUCUUGUAACAGUUUUUUUAUAGAAGGCAGCAAAAUGGAGCCGUAGGCCUGUCUAUGACAGUCUUGCUUUAUAAUUAUCUUAUUUCACUUAUCAAAAUCUUAUGUCUAUAAUCUAUACUUUUUACUAAUCCAUAACCUAUAACUUACACUCUUAUUGGUUGUAUUUAUCAGUACACACCACAAAAAUGACAUGGUGGGUGGCAUCAUGGUAGAAAUGUGCACAGAAGAGAUCAUAUGGUAGGGGACACAGUAUAUCCAAACCAAAGUAGAAAGAUGAACAGGGAUGUCAUCAGAAAGGAGAUCAGGGCCCAGAAUGGAGGACCCUAGAGGGCAAUAGCACAACAAUGGGUUGUAAGUGUAACAGGGUUUUAGAGAUAGAAGGGGCUAGAAGUCUAGACUGGCAUCUCCAAAGUGAACAUGAACAAAGGCAAACAGACUCUCUGAAGCCACAUGGCCAUGGAUGGCUACCCUGAGGCUGACCUGGGACCCCCUGAGCCAAUCAGAAGGGGCCUCUUUCUCUGCUGUUGGCAGUAACCUCAGAGAGGGCAUUCAGAAGCAAUGGGUGUUGGAGAUACAGAGAACACUUAACAUCAGUAGAGAACUUUGAACAGCAUGUCUGCUCCUCAUUCCCAGUCCCUAUCAAACCCCGCAGUUUUCUGUCCUUCCUUCCAGGACUGUAUCUCUAUAGUACAUUCCACAUUCUACUCAGGCCACCUUUAGCUGAUUUCUCUUUCUUAAAACCAGACAAUGCGGGCCUGGGAUGUGGCUCAAGCGGUAGCGCGCUCGCCUGGCAUGCGUGCGGCCCAGGUUCGAUCCUCAGCACCACAUACAAACAAAGAUGUUGUGUCCGCCAAAUACUAAAAAAUAAAUAUUAAAAAAUUCUCUCUCUCUCUACCUCUAUCUCUCUCACUCUCUCUUUAAAAAAAAAAAAAAAACCAGACAAUGCCUUAAGCAGUAACCACCUGCUUGAACUGGGGUGGAACACCAGAGGCUGCGAUAUACUGUAACUGGCUGGAAUAGUCAGCUCCAGAUUUGAAGAAUUGUGAGGAUCUCUUCCCAAUUCAUGUUCAGUGAUGCCAUGUCAGCUGUAGUGGUAGUAUUUACACCACAAAAAAUAGCAAAUGUUGGGCUGGGGAUGUGGCUCAAGCGGUAACGCGCUCGCCUGGCAUGUGCAGUGCGCUUGGUUCGAUCCUUAGCACCACAUAAAAAUUAAAAAAAAAAAAAGAAAAAAUAAAGAUGUUGUGUCCACUGAAAACCAAAAAAUAAAUAUUAAAAAAAUUCUCUCUCUCUCUCUCUCUUAAGUUAGCAAAUGUUAUGGAUUAGGGUUUUUUCCAGAAAGUUGGAUGUGACAUCAUCAUGGUUUAGAAUACGUUGUCCCCCAAAAGUUCAUGUAUAAGAUAAUACCAGAAAGUUCAGAGGUGAAAUUUUUAGAUUAUGAGAAUUGCAACCUAAUCAGUGGAUUAAUUCUACUUAUAUGAAUUAUAAGUAUACAAAUUAUUAAUUCUACUUACAUUUAUUAACUGUGUGGUGACUGUAGGCAGAUAGGGUAUGACUGGAGAAAAUAGGACACUAGGGGCAUGACUUUAGGGUUUAUAUUUUGUCCCUAGUGAGCAAAGUUCCCUUCUGCUUCCUGGAUGUGAUGUCCUGAGAUGCUUUCCUCCACCACACCCUUCUGCCAUGAUGUUCUGCUUCCCCCUUUGCCCAGAGCAAUGAAGUUUGCCAACCAUGGACUGAACCUUGGAAAAUGAGCCAAAAUAAUUUUUUCCUCCUCUAAGUUAUUCGUGUCAGGUCUUUUGAUCACAGCUACACAAAGCUAAAGCAAACAUUUACUGGUACCCUCAGCUAGAGGCAAGGACCACCAGGCCAGAGAGUCAGAGGUUAUAUCCUCUGCACUUCCCAUCCCAGGUAAAUUAAGCUCUCUGGCCAGUGUCUUCAUUGUAAAAUGGGGAUAAGGACAGAGCUUGUCAUGGUGUGUCAUGACAAUGAAAUAAGAUAACACAUAUGAAAUGCUUAGAAAAGUGCCUUAACGGAUAAUAACAUAUCAGAUGACUUAAUACACAUUAUGUACUAGUUAAUACUGCUUAAAAUAAUAUAUAGUAUUAUUCCUAUUGAAAUCAGGAAUAAAACUGAGAAUUUGUAUGUGUAUGUGUGUGUGAUGAUUAAUUUGAAUUGUCGACUUGAUUGGAUUAAGAGAUACUGAAGAUUAAGAGGCCUCUGGGUGUGUCAAUGAGGGUGCGUCUAGGAAUGAUUGGUAUGUGGAAUAGCAAAUUGAAGUGGAGACCCGCCCUCAGCGUGGGCAGCACCAUCCAAUAGGUUGGAAGCUUGGAUGGAAGAAAAGUUGAAAGAACAAGGAAACUGCAGCAGAUGCAAGCUUGAUUCUUCCUGAACAGUUUCUUGAUUGCUGUUGUGAUCACCUGAAGAUAUCAGACUCUCGCUCCUUCAGUCUUCCAAAGUGGACUCUGCCAGUGAUUCUCCAGGGAGUUUCCAGAAGCCUUAAGUCUCCAUUGAUCCCUCCUGUUCUGAGGCUUCAGCAUCUGGGACUGUGCAGAUACUGGUUCCUCCAGCUCUCCAGCCUUCAGUCAUUGUGGACUAUCUCACUUCUGGUUUCGUAAGCCAAUCUAAUAAAUACC